GUCUGCAUGGUUCCAUUCAGUACUGCCUUAAAUGUCUGUGUGAAUAAGAAUGCAUUAAGAGAAGACCCGAAGAGUCAUAAUGACUCUUGAGAACAUUAAAAAUUCUAGGCAGACAGCCUUUAACACAGGGAGUUACUCACUUUCAAUCUCACUGGGGUUUAGCAGGAGUUAGUCUGGUUUGAGAGUUUAUCAUUCUCCACUCCUUACAUUAGUGUGGACUUUGUCUCUCUGAUGUGAAUUUCAGUUAGUUUUCUUUGCCUUCUGCGGCUCUCGCUCCAGCAUCUCUGAAGCAUCACCAAAUCAGUCUUGUUCCAUACUGAUUUCUGUUUGAAACACCGGCUGGUUUCACAUUCCUGCCCUCCCAUGCUUCAGCAACACCAUGAAGCUGAUACUGGAAGAAGCAUUUUUGCAAGCGUGAUCUCAAAGAAAAAUACUCAAGGGGAAUUCGGGGACCAGAGGUUUAAUGGUUGCGGCUUUAUAAUCUUUAUCAGAGCACUGAGGCAGUAAUAGGAAGAUAGGAGUAAUCACCUCCAAGAUUUCUGUCACCUCAAUCAACCUUCAAGGGAAAAUCAUCACAAGAGAGCCUCCGCUACAGCUUCACAGGUGGAGGGACAGUGAUGCAGCACUGGGAAGGAAAAAAUAUCACCUGAAAAAGAAUGCGGACAUAAAGUUUAUGUGCUUGACACCACAUCUGGCUCUGGUCCUUUCCUCUGGUUCCUCCUGGCUGCUUCUGGACACGUGGGCACUUGCCCACUCCAUUAUUAAAGAUUUCGAUGACAAUGUGAAUAUCAGAUGUCUGUUGCAUCUCACUGACUUUGGGCUCUGAAGCUCUGCAGUUGUUUGUUCGUGUUGUGUGGAUCCUUUUCUAGACCACUGGAGUGUUUUGCCAUGAGCUCACGGAUUUGGACUCUGGUGAUUAAAGUUGCUUCAAAGCAGGCACCAUUCACUGGGCUAUGAUGUGCAUAGCGCUAUGUGGAAUGUAGUGAAAUGUGGUAUAUUAUCAUAGGAAGCUGUGCACUAGUGGGUUUGCUGAAGUAUUCGCUGUGAAUGUGAUUACACAAGGAUCCUGUUUGUAGGUUACUGUAGUUGCUGUGAAUCAUUCUCGACUGAAAUAAAAGCACAUGAUAUUCAAAGGUCA
rnacentral:lncRNA from 1 species